UACGGAGGGUGCGAGCGUUGUCCGGAAUCACUGGGCGUAAAGGGCGCGUAGGUGGCGCGGGCAGUCAACGGUGAAAAGUUCGGGGCUCAACCCCGAAUCGGCCGUCGAUACUCCCGGGCUUGAGCACUGUAGAGGCUAAUGGAAUUCCGGGUGUAGCGGUGGAAUGCGUAGAGAUCCGGAAGAACACCGGUGGCGAAGGCGGUUAGCUGGGCAGUUGCUGGACACUUGAG
rnacentral:rRNA from 1 species